rnacentral:rRNA from 1 species
GACGGAAGGUGCAAGCGUUGCUCGGAAUCACUGGGCGUAAAGGGUGCGUAGGCGGCCAACUAAGUCGGAUGUGAAAUCCCCAGGCUUAACCUGGGAAUUGCAUCCGAUACUGGAUGGCUUGAAUCCGGGAGAGGGAUGCGGAAUUCCAGGUGUAGCGGUGAAAUGCGUAGAUAUCGUUUGGAACGCCAAUGGUGAAAACAGGUAGCUGGGAGUGUGCCGACGCUGAGACACGAAAGCCAGGGGAGCGAACGGG